rnacentral:rRNA from 1 species
ACUCCUACGGGAGGCAGCAGUGGGGAAUAUUGCACAAUGGGCGAAAGCCUGAUGCAGCAACGCCGCGUGAGGGACGACGGCCUUCGGGUUGUAAACCUCUUUUGGCAGGGAAGAAGCGAAAGUGACGGUACCUGCAGAAAAAGCACCGGCUAACUACGUGCCAGCAGCCGCGGUAAUACGUAGGGUGCAAGCGUUGUCCGGAAUUAUUGGGCGUAAAGAGCUCGUAGGCGGUUUGUCGCGUCUGCUGUGAAAACGCGAGGCUCAACCUCGCGCCUGCAGUGGGUACGGGCAGACUAGAGUGUGGUAGGGGAGAUUGGAAUUCCUGGUGUAGCGGUGGAAUGCGCAGAUAUCAGGAGGAACACCGAUGGCGAAGGCAGAUCUCUGGGCCAUUACUGACGCUGAGGAGCGAAAGCGUGGGGAGCGAACAGGAUUAGAUACCCUGGUAGUCCACGCCGUAAACGUUGGGAACUAGAUGUGGGGUCCAUUCCACGGAUUCCGUGUCGCAGCUAACGCAUUAAGUUCCCCGCCUGGGGAGUACGGCCGCAAGGCUAAAACUCAAAGGAAUUGACGGGGGCCCGCACAAGCGGCGGAGCAUGCGGAUUAAUUCGAUGCAACGCGAAGAACCUUACCAAGGCUUGACAUAUACCUGCAAAGGCUGGAAACAGUCUCCUCGCAAGACAGGUAUACAGGUGGUGCAUGGUUGUCGUCAGCUCGUGUCGUGAGAUGUUGGGUUAAGUCCCGCAACGAGCGCAACCCUCGUUCUAUGUUGCCAGCGCGUCAUGGCGGGAACUCAUAGGAGACUGCCGGGGUCAACUCGGA